UGUAGAUAAAUGUAUGAUGCAUAUGAAGUUUUGAGUUUCAAAGUUAAGUUUAAUUCUUAAAUCUGCAA
rnacentral:tRNA from 1 species